UACGGAGGGUGCAAGCGUUAUCCGGAUUCACUGGGUUUAAAGGGUGCGUAGGCGGGUAUAUAAGUCAGUGGUGAAGGCUCCGAGCUUAACUUGGAAACUGCCAUUGAUACUGUAUAUCUUGAAUGUCGUUGAGGUUAGCGGAAUGUUGCAUGUAGCGGUGAAAUGCUUAGAUAUGUUACAGAACACCAAUUGUGAAGACAGCUAACUAAGCGAUGAUUGACGCUGAGGCACGAAAGCGUGGGGAGCAAACAGG
rnacentral:rRNA from 1 species